rnacentral:rRNA from 1 species
UACGAAGGGGGGCUAGCGUUGCUCGGAAUCACUGGGCGUAAAGGGCGCGUAGGCGGACUUUUAAGUCAGGGGUGAAAUCCUGAGGCUCAACCUCAGAACUGCCUUUGAUACUGAGGGUCUCGAGACCGGUAGAGGUAAGUGGAACUGCGAGUGUAGAGGUGAAAUUCGUAGAUAUUCGCAAGAACACCAGUGGCGAAGGCGGCCAACUGGUCCGGUACUGACGCUGAGGUGCGAAAGCGUGGGGAGCAAACAGG